rnacentral:rRNA from 1 species
UACGGGGGGAGCAAGCGUUGUUCGGAUUUACUGGGCGUAAAGGGCGCGUAGGCGGCCUCCGCAAGUCAGUUGUGAAAUCUCCGAGCUUAACUCGGAAAGGUCAACUGAUACUGCGGGGCUAGAGUGCGGAAGGGGCAACUGGAAUUCUUGGUGUAGCGGUGAAAUGCGUAGAUAUCAGGAGGAACACCGGUGGCGAAGGCGGCUCUCUGGACGGUGACUGACGCUGAGACGCGAAAGCGUGGGGAGCAAACAGG